rnacentral:rRNA from 1 species
AACGCUGGCGGCGUGCUCAACACAUGCAAGUCGAACGGAAAGGCCCUGCUUUUGUGGGGUGCUCGAGUGGCGAACGGGUGAGUAACACGUGAGUAACCUGCCCUUGACUUUGGGAUAACUUCAGGAAACUGGGGCUAAUACCGGAUAGGAGCUCCUGCUGCAUGGUGGGGGUUGGAAAGUUUCGGCGGUUGGGGAUGGACUCGCGGCUUAUCAGCUUGUUGGUGGGGUAGUGGCUUACCAAGGCUUUGACGGGUAGCCGGCCUGAGAGGGUGACCGGCCACAUUGGGACUGAGAUACGGCCCAGACUCCUACGGGAGGCAGCAGUGGGGAAUAUUGCACAAUGGGCGGAAGCCUGAUGCAGCAACGCCGCGUGCGGGAUGACGGCCUUCGGGUUGUAAACCGCUUUCGCCUGUGACGAAGCGUGAGUGACGGUAAUGGGUAAAGAAGCACCGGCUAACUACGUGCCAGCAGCCGCGGUGAUACGUAGGGUGCGAGCGUUGUCCGGAUUUAUUGGGCGUAAAGGGCUCGUAGGUGGUUGAUCGCGUCGGAAGUGUAAUCUUGGGGCUUAACCCUGAGCGUGCUUUCGAUACGGGUUGACUUGAGGAAGGUAGGGGAGAAUGGAAUUCCUGGUGGAGCGGUGGAAUGCGCAGAUAUCAGGAGGAACACCAGUGGCGAAGGCGGUUCUCUGGGCCUUUCCUGACGCUGAGGAGCGAAAGCGUGGGGAGCGAACAGGCUUAGAUACCCUGGUAGUCCACGCUGUAAACGGUGGGUACUAGGUGUGGGGUCCAUUCCACGGGUUCCGUGCCGUAGCUAACGCUUUAAGUACCCCGCCUGGGGAGUACGGCCGCAAGGCUGAAACUCAAAGGAAUUGACGGGGCCCCGCACAAGCGGCGGAGCAUGCGGAUUAACUCGAUGCAACGCGUAGAACCUUACCUGGGUUUGACAUGGAUCGGGAGUGCUCAGAGAUGGGUGUGCCUCUUUUGGGGUCGGUUCACAGGUGGUGCAUGGCUGUCGUCAGCUCGUGUCGUGAGAUGUUGGGUUAAGUCCCGCAACGAGCGCAACCCUUGUUCACUGUUGCCAGCACGUUAUGGUGGGGACUCAGUGGAGACCGCCGGGGUCAACUCGGAGGAAGGUGGGGAUGACGUCAAGUCAUCAUGCCCCUUAUGUCCAGGGCUUCACGCAUGCUACAAUGGCUGGUACAGAGAGUGGCGAGCCUGUGAGGGUGAGCGAAUCUCGGAAAGCCGGUCUCAGUUCGGAUUGGGGUCUGCAACUCGACCUCAUGAAGUCGGAGUCGCUAGUAAUCGCAGAUCAGCAACGCUGCGGUGAAUACGUUCCCGGGGCUUGUACACACCGCCCGUCAAGUCAUGAAAGUUGGUAACACCCGAAGCCGGUGGCCUAACCGUUGUGGGGGAGCCGUCGAAGGUGGGACUGGUA